AAAAAUGAAUCUGGCAAAGCCCUUGUGGCCUUGCUUGGUGUUUCACCUGCGAAAGUGGGACUGAAACCCACACCCAAGUGUGAACCGUGUUUUGUCUCUGGCGGUGGGGUUUCGGAGGGAGAGUCAUCUCUCUCGAAGCCUGUCCAGCAGCUCUUUUCGUUGAAAGACGAGAAAGCGGCCGAGGGCAAGCCGCCAAACAUUUACAAACGCUUUUGCUAUUUUAUUUCUGUCUCACCUUUUUUUGUAUGUAUCUAAUAUACAAACA
rnacentral:misc_RNA from 1 species